rnacentral:rRNA from 1 species
CCAGACUCCUACGGGAGGCAGCAGUGGGGGAUAUUGCACAAUGGGGGAAACCCUGAUGCAGCGACGCCGCGUGAGUGAAGAAGUAUUUCGGUAUGUAAAGCUCUAUCAGCAGGGAAGAAAAAAGACGGUACCUGACUAAGAAGCCCCGGCUAACUACGUGCCAGCAGCCGCGGUAAUACGUAGGGGGCAAGCGUUAUCCGGAUUUACUGGGUGUAAAGGGAGCGUAGACGGCGAUGCAAGUCUGAAGUGAAAGCCCGGGGCUCAACCCCGGGACUGCUUUGGAAACUGUAUGGCUGGAGUGCUGGAGAGGCAAGCGGAAUUCCUAGUGUAGCGGUGAAAUGCGUAGAUAUUAGGAGGAACACCAGUGGCGAAGGCGGCCUACUGGACGGUGACUGACGCUGAGGCUCGAAAGCGUGGGGAGCAAACAGGAUUAGAUACCCGUGUA